GACGAACGCUGGCGGCGUGCCUAAUACAUGCAAGUUGAGCGCUGAAGGUUGGUACUUGUACCAACUGGAUGAGCAGCGAACGGGUGAGUAACGCGUGGGGAAUCUGCCUUUGAGCGGGGGACAACAUUUGGAAACGAAUGCUAAUACCGCAUAAAAACUUUAAACACAAGUUUUAAGUUUGAAAGAUGCAAUUGCAUCACUCAAAGAUGAUCCCGCGUUGUAUUAGCUAGUUGGUGAGGUAAAGGCUCACCAAGGCGAUGAUACAUAGCCGACCUGAGAGGGUGAUCGGCCAAAUUGGGACUGAGACACGGCCCAAAAUCCUACGGGAGGCAGCAGUAGGGAAUCUUCGGAAAUGGACGAAAGUCUGAACGAGCAAAGCCGCGUGAGUGAAGAAGGUUUUCGGAUCGUAAAACUCUGUUGGUAGAGAAGAGCGUUGGUGAGAGUGGAAAGCUCAUCAAGUGACGGUAACUACACAGAAAGGGACGGCUAACUACGUG
rnacentral:rRNA from 1 species